AUUGAACGCUGGCGGCAGGCCUAACACAUGCAAGUCGAGCGAGCGGCGGACGGGUGCGUAAUGUCUGGGAAACUGCCUGAUGGAGGGGGAUAACUACUGGAAAAGGUAGCUAAUACCGCAUACCAUCAGAUGUGCCCACAGGGGAUUAGCUAAUAGGGGGGGUAACGGGUCACCUAGGCGACGAUCCCUAGCUGGUCUGAGAGGAUGACCAGCCACACUGGAACUGAGACACGGUCCAGACUCCUAAGGGAGGCAGAAGUGGGGAAUAUUGCACAAUGGGCGCGAGCCUGAUGCAGCCAUGCCGCGUGAGUGAAGAAGGCCUUCGGAUUGUAAAGCACUGUCAGCGGAGAGGCGUUACCCGCAGAAGAAGCACCGGCUAACUCCGUGCCAGCAGCCGCGGUAAUUC
rnacentral:rRNA from 1 species